GCCACGAUAGCUCAGUUGGUAGAGCGCCUGGUUGAAGCCCAGGAGGCACUGGUUCAAUUCCGGUUCGUGGCA
rnacentral:tRNA from 1 species